ACGGGAGGCAGCAGUGGGGAAUAUUGGACAAUGGGGGGAACCCUGAUCCAGCGACGCCGCGUGAGUGAAGAAGUAUUUCGGUAUGUAAAGCUCUAUCAGCAAGGAAGAAAAUGACGGUACUUGACUAAGAAGCUCCGGCUAAAUACGUGCCAGCAGCCGCGGUAAUACGUAUGGAGCAAGCGUUAUCCGGAUUUACUGGGUGUAAAGGGAGCGUAGACGGACUAGCAAGUCUGAAGUGAAAGCCCGGGGCUCAACCCCGGAACUGCUUUGGAAACUGUUAAGCUAGAGUACAGGAGAGGUAAGCGGAAUUCCUAGUGUAGCGGUGAAAUGCGUAGAUAUUAGGAGGAACACCAGUGGCGAAGGCGGCUUACUGGACUGUAACUGACGCUGAGGCUCGAAAGCGUGGGGAGCGAACAGGAUUAGAUACCCUGGUA
rnacentral:rRNA from 1 species